ensembl:lncRNA
CGCUUACCAUCAACAAAGAGUCAAAGUGGAGUAAAGAUGUUUUCAGAUAAGUAAAGUCUUCAGAAAGUAGUUUCUCUGCACUGAUUCUUGAGAUACUUGAGAGUGUGUUCCUCCAAAAUGAGGAAAUAAACAAGAAAUGGGGAAAUGCAAGAUCCAAGAAACAGGAUUUCCAACGCAGGAGAGGAGUGGAAGGACUAUCCAGAAGGACUGAGGGGAAAUGCCAGAGAGACACUGUGUAGCACAUCUAGGAAGCAUCCAGUCCAGAUGAGAGCAGGAACCCAGAGGGCUCCAGAAGUGUCUCCAGAAAAACUUGAAACAGAGAGCACUUGACAUGUUUGAACCUAAGUUCUCAGAGAAGACUCAGCCCUUAAGUGAAGUCUAGAGGAUGCUUGUCCUUGGAAGCCAGCCAUUGUGCUGCAAGAAAGACUGGGUUACACAGAGAGGCCCAUGUGGAGAGAAACUGAGGCCCCUAGCCAUCAGCCCCAGCUGAGCUCCCUGCCGACAUGGAGCAUCAACUUAUUAGCCAGUGAACAAUCAUGAGAAAGUUCUAAAAGUUGAGCUCCGCAUGUUCAAAUGCCAGCAUUUGCCCAGGACCUCAUCCAAGACAAAGCCUACCACUAUCACAGGGCGGAGGAAGUGCACAAGGUCUUGGGUUCAUGCCAGAAUCAGAGUAAGGGAGCCUAUUUUCAACCGAGGAUCUUCCUCUGGCCUCUGAAGUCUGACCUAGACGGUAAGUGACUGGAUGUCAAAAAAUACCUCAGUUCAGAAUUUUCUGGGACAGACCAUGAAGCUACCAAGUGAUAGUUACCACAGGACCCACUAGAAGGGGAUUAUAAUGAUAACAGGAACUCCUUACUGGUUUCUACCAAUAAGGGCAAGACUUUGUUGUUACUGAGGGGGCUACCUGUCCCUGACCAUCAAGCUGUAUUCACUCUCAGAGCUGGAGAGCCCCAGGCAGAACUGUCUGCAGACCUCACCUCAGCUACCCCAGACAGUGGCCCCAGAGUGCAGGACACAGCUUGAAGGGACUUGUGUUGGCCAGAAGUGUCUGUUCUACAUGGACUUCCAGGGACAGCUAUAUGGAUGGAGAUAUCUCAUCUUGGCACUAUCAGGUAAAUAGCAGCAAGAUCAAUGACUCUACUCUCUGGGCCAUAGGGCAACACCAAAGACCUUUGUGACUACACCCUGGCACACAGCUUCAAUCACCUGGGGACAUGAAGCAUGAAAGAAUGAGGAGGAAGGAGGCAAUAUCCAUUAGAGAGCCUGCAGCACAGUAUUCUCAUUCUGAUAGACUGUUUAACUCAUGUGAGCUUGAGAAGUCAAGGGUUCCUUCUAGGCCUCAAUAUAUCCAUCUGUAAAAUGGAAUUGCCUUUACAUCACAGGAUGUUCAAAGAUCUGGAGAAGGCACUAGGAGGAAGGAUCUCACAGAAGUUUGAGAGAGGGGUGGUUCAUGCUUUUGUCAUAUCUUUUUCUGCAGCAAUUACUCACCACUGUAUCCCCAGGAUCUGGCACAUAGUAGGCCUUCAAUAUGCAUCAAAUGAAAAAAUGAACGGAUUAAGGCUUCUGCAGUCAUUCAUUCUCUCAAGGGCUAUGCACAAGUUUUUCAGAGAUGGGAAAAUAGCUAUAUUUCUUUUCUGCUUCCCUCCUCCUUUCCCAGUGCUCAGUUUACAAAUAUCUCACCUUGGGCCAAAGUCUGUGACCCACUUCCCUCCACCCACCCAGUUGGCUGUGUAAUGGGAGUCAUGUGUGGUUGUCUUGGGAUACUAGUCAUUCAGAGAAGUUAAAUGAAGACUCUUAACAUCAUCCCUGUCCUGGGGUUUAGGGUAUGGAUCAGGGUGGAAGAGAAGGAGGAUUCAGAAGUUGGGGUCAGAAGUCUGGGGCCUCCUAGCCUCCUUUGAGAUCUCUAUGCUUUGUGCAAGCUCAGACCUCAACUUGCUCUCCUCUCCUGUCUCAGGAGGCCUAGGAGUAGAAGGAGAGUGGGGUUGGGGAAGGGAUAUAAGAGAUCUCAGCAUGUUGACUGGAGCUAGAUCCGUCUGCUCUCCAGUUCCGUCCCUUUCACCAGGCUUCUUAUGCCUAAGACUACUAUAAAUGACAGAGAGAACCUGAACCCCAUCUCUGUGGGACCAGACAACAGGGCACCUACGUCCCCCAUGAGGUGAGGCUGGGUAUGGAGGGAAAAGGCCCUUUUGACAUUUACUAUCCCUCCCCUUGACAGUCCAGCCUGAGUUCUAGGUGAGACUUCUGGGGCUUUAACUGAAUCUGAACCAGAGCUCUUGUUGCCUUGCUACGAAGCUUCCUCUGUGUCCCCAAAUGGUAGAAAGAUAAUGAUGUAUUACUCAUGGGUUAGGUAUUUAUCUAUCGUCUGUCCUUCUCAUACCCAUCUUCCUACACUCUGUUCAGACUUCUGUGCCAGGUGCCUUCCUAAGGGGUUCUGCAUAUUAGGAGGCACUGGUGGGAGAUCAGAAAUUGGAAGUGGAGAGAAGUUAUUAUUCCUCCUUUCUCUCUUUCUUUCUCUUCUUUUGCUUCUGGCAGCAACCGUGGAAGUGGCUGCAUUGCUUCGAUGAUCCCAGCUUUGGUGGCAGCAGUUCUUCCUUGAUGGUUCUAGUAGUGACCAUGAGGUUCUCUCUCUAUGGGGUCAGCAUCUUCUGGAUGGUCUACCCCAGUAUCUGCUUAAUGCAACCCUCUUGUAUUGUGCCCUCACUAACUAGCACAGUGACAGUGAGUUCUGCACUUUGGAAACAAUAAUCUCUUGGUUUUUUUUCUCUAGCUAUAUUUUGUUCCUUCCUGUAGUAAAUAAGUUCUGGGUUACUUCUUCUCUUUUGUCUGGUUUCAUUUCUUCAAAGUCUCUUAUAACUGUUUCCCUGUAUUAAAUUCCUUCUGUUUGUUUUUCUAGUUGUCCCCUGUCUGAUAUACAAAAAUUAAGGAAGGUGGCUAUUCAUAGAUAGAAAAUAAUUUUUUCCCCAAAAGGUAUAGGAUUAAGGAAAUAUAAGGAAUGAGAUUAAUGAACAAAUACAUUAUUUUCCAUUAUAGUUAACUAAGCACUACCUUGUUGAUCAUAUAAUUAGAUCACUGUUUUAAUAUUAUUUUUCUAUAGAAAAACACAUUUCCAUAUAUGAGAUGCUAUCUCUAUUGAAACUGAACUUAUGUACAUGUCAUCUUUAAUUCUGAAUAACGUUUUACAUUUGAACUUAUUGCACUCUUUACACCAUUGGAUAUAUCUUGUUGCCAUAAUGUAUCUAAUUAAAUGUGACAUUUCUACACACACAAAAAAUGAUGUCUUCCUCUAUGAUCCUUUAUGGAGGUAUAGCAUGAUUUAGACUUAAGUGAAUCAAACUUAAGAAAUAAAUGACUCCUCCACUCCUGCUAGUAAAUGUCUGCAUGAAUGACAUCAUCAAGAAACAAUUUAUUUGAAAAUUUUAAAAUAGUUUUGACACGAACAUUAACCUGCAGGGAACUAGCUGAUGAAUGAUAAUCUAUCCAGCCAUUUGUCCAGCACAGGAAAAGCUAUGGAGUCAUUGAAGGUGAUGUUCAUCUAUGUUCAUUGACAUUGCAAGAUGUUUAUUGUUGAGUGAAAAAACUGGUUAUAAAGGUUUGCAUUAUAUGAUUACUUAUGUUUUGUUUAAAAAAUAUUUGUGUAGAAAAGACAUUGGAAGGAAAAGCAGAGAUAACAGUUAUUAUCUUUUGUUAGUGAGGCCAUGUGUGGUUUCUAAUUUUCUUUUUACUGAGUUGGUUCUUUACAUUUUCCACAAUGAAGAUAUAUUAAUUUUCUAAAGGAAAAAUUUUAAGUUAGUUAAAAGACAAACAGGUGUGCUCCCUGAUUUGUUUAGCAUGAGGAGCUAGCCGAAGAACUGUGUGAGAAUGGUGGGAGAAGCAAGGAGGAUUAGGGAGGGAUGUCUCUGGAACUGACCCCUUCCCUAUUGCCAGGUGGGUUCCUGCCUUAUAGGGACAAGGUUCUGGAUGACCUCUGAGGUUUUUCUCUAUUGAAGGUUCCAAGAUCCAACUUAAGAUUCAAUUCAAAGAAAAUAUAUUGGUCAUCAUCCUAUGCCAACACCUGUAGCUCCUAGAAAGACAGAGUUGAAGGCCCAGUACCUGUCCUCUGGGCACCUACUGUUUUGUCAAAGGAUUAACGCUGGCUUUGGAGUGGAAAUAUCUCUCUUUGAACUCUUCCUCUGCCCUUCACUAGCUGUGUGACAUUGGGAAAAUUUCUUCUCCUCUUUGAGUUUCAGGUUUUUCAUCUUUAAAGAGAAGGUAAUAAUUCUUCCUUUUCUUUGUUUGGAGGAUUAAGUAGAAUGAUAAGAUAAUCCAAGAAGAAGAGAGAGAGAGAGAGAGAAGGAGGAAAAGAAAGAGAGAAAGGGAUAGGGAGAGAGAGGGAAAGAGAGAGAGAGUCAUUUCUUUUCUAGGCCAGUUUAGGCUUUCUAGGAACAAGAACAAUUGAUAAGAACGAAGAAGAAAAUAAAAAAAAAAAAAUCCUUACCCAAGGAGGGGUAGCAAAACUUUAAGAGUGAAGCAAUGGAUACAGCAAGUGGGCUAAAAAUUAAUCACACAAAGAUUUCAUAAUUUCAUAGUACCUCCUCAUAGUCUUUGCCCUUUGUGAACACAUAGGGCUUUAUCACAACAAGGUGUUCCAUGUAAUCUGCAUGUGGUCACUGAAGGACAAAGUAUCUGCUUGGCCCAUGUUUCCCAAAUACCCCAGAUAAAUGGGAAAUGAGGGUGUCCUGGACAAUGGUGGAAGAAGGAAGAGCCAUGGUCCACUGAGUCUGCCUCAGAGACAUAGAGUAGACAAUACUGUGUGAGGGCAAGGAAGGCUGGGAAGGGAAAGAUUACUUGGCCAUGGUAAAUUACUUCUAUCUUAUGGAAAAUUUGUAGCUUCUAUGUCUUUGUAAAACAAACAUGUAGAAUAUGUAGGAAAACUUUAUAGAAAUAACUUUCCUGUGUAUUUCAGUUUAUUAUGUUCUAACGGUUACAAUUGAAGGAUCCAGUCCUAACCCCACUCCCAAUGCCCCUUAACCAAAUGCUCUGUAGAAGAGAGAAAUGUAAUGACCUUAAGAUAGUAUCAAACAUCAACUGACAUCCCAAUAUGCAACUUGACAUCCUUUUGUUCUUCAGAGUCUUAUCUCCCAACUAAGCUAUCAGCACCUUGAAAUGAAGGUCAUGCCUUCAUCUCCAUUUGUAGGAAUUCUUAGCAUAGAGCUCGUCUCAAUAAAUAAUUAUGUCGAGGGUUCACCAAUACUCCUCUCUCACCAAAAUUAUUCCAUUAUUUAUGUUUACGUUGUACAAUUAUCAACCAACCAUGGUAAAUUAAAAUAAUUGACUUUCAAUUGGCUAAAUAGAUUUGUUAACACAGUGAAUAAUUAUUUACCAGUAAAUGAAUCAGCUUAAUUUGUUUAAGUGUAGGUCAUAGAUAAAAUGUCAUGUUCUCAUGUUAAGAUAUGGAUAUAAACAAGAGAUAAGUCAGACAAAGGCCAUGACUUCAGCACUGGGUAAAGGACAAGUUAAAGACAAAUCAAUUAAUCCAGCACUGUGCCAGCUGCCAUGAGGAAUACAGAAAGUACAACUGCCUUGUCCUCGAGGAGUUUUGAAUCAAAUUGAAGAGUCAAGACAUUCAUAGCAAUUAAGAACAAUAAAGACAUUAUAUAUUCAAAGCAAAAAGAUGUGGAAUGAACCAGCCUUUUCAGGCAAGCUUUGUAAGACAUUGUAUAGCCUGGGAUUGUGUCUUGCUGAAACUUAACUGCUCUAUUCAGAAGUCGAUUACUCUGUGACAAGUAUCGCCCAAUAACUGCUCAAAAGACAAGACAGGCAGGACUAAAUGUGGUAAAGAAAGAUAAGGGGGGGGGGGAUGAUUCUGUCUCUGCAAGAACUUAAAAGUUUAGUGGGCAAGAUGAGACAAAUACCUGUGAAAGAUAGUUAAAAAUUCAAAUAAAGCAAUAGUUUGAAGGGGUAUCCUGCAUAGUUUUUUUAUAGGAAAGAGUGAGGUGUGGAGACAACUAGAAACAGGGAGAACAUUCUAGCUGUUGAGAAAAGGUGGGGAUGCAGGCUCAGAAGCAGGAGUCAGCAAAAUUAGCUGUGGGUGUGCCUGGCUGGAGUGGAGAAAUCUUAGCCUGAGAAUGAGGCGAGUAAGCAUAGGGUAAGGGGGAAGGGGG